rnacentral:lncRNA from 1 species
GUUAUAUGCAACCUCAGUACCAUAAUGGGGAUGUCUCAAACUGAAGAUAGGACCUUUUCAUGCAACUGUUGCUAGUCGUUAGCUAAUAUAUAUACCUACACCUCAUGGUGAGCAGUGAAGGAAGUAACUUGCUACCACCUCUAGGUCCCAUGUUUGUCAACCAGGAACUGAUGCUGCUUGGAAGCGUCGAGCCAAGGCUGCUUCGCAGAUGUAAAUUACUCCCCGUGAGGAUAGUUUCGGUUCGUGGUCUAGCUCUGUUGUUGUAUGUAUAUUCAGGAUAAUUUAACAAUUGGUCUUUGGCUGUCAUUCGGUUCCAUAUAAUCUGUAUUGGGAGGCAUAAAUAUUCAUGUUGUAUUUCGUCCUGAACUAGCGUGUUGUACUAUUGAGAAAUAGAUGCUCUCUGUAAUGGUAGCAAUUUUACUCUGAUUCCCAUUCUCUCC